rnacentral:rRNA from 1 species
AGUGAACGCUGGCGGUAGGCCUAACACAUGCAAGUCGAACGGCAGCACAGUAAGAGCUUGCUCUUACGGGUGGCGAGUGGAGGACGGGUGAGGAAUACAUCGGAAUCUACUUUUUCGUGGGGGAUAACGUAGGGAAGCUUACGCUAAUACCGCAUACGACCUACGGGUGAAAGCAGGGGAUCUUCGGACCUUGCGCGAUUGAAUGAGCCGAUGUCGGAUUAGCUAGUUGGCGGGGUAAAGGCCCACCAAGGCGACGAUCCGUAGCUGGUCUGAGAGGAUGAUCAGCCACACUGGAACUGAGACACGGUCCAGACUCCUACGGGAGGCAGCAGUGGGGAAUAUUGGACAAUGGGCGCAAGCCUGAUCCAGCCAUACCGCGUGGGUGAAGAAGGCCUUCGGGUUGUAAAGCCCUUUUGUUGGGAAAGAAAAGCAGCAGGUUAAUACCCCGCUGUUCUGACGGUACCCAAAGAAUAAGCACCGGCUAACUUCGUG